rnacentral:rRNA from 1 species
GGAUUAGAUACCCUGGUAGUCCACACCGUAAACGAUGUCUACUAGCUGUGUGCGAAUGUAUAUUUGUGCGUAGCGCAGCCAACGCGAUAAGUAGACCGCCUGGGGAGUACGGCCGCAAGGUUAAAACUCAAAUGAAUUGACGGGGGCCCGCACAAGCGGUGGAGCAUGUGGUUUAAUUCGAUGCAACGCGAAGAACCUUACCUACACUUGACAUACUGAGAACUUUCCAGAGAUGGAUUGGUGCCUUCGGGAACUUGGAUACAGGUGCUGCAUGGCUGUCGUCAGCUCGUGCCG